UACCCGUAGCAUCUGUAUGUCU
rnacentral:miRNA from 2 species